rnacentral:tRNA from 1 species
UAAAUUUUAAGUUAUCUAAACUUGAGAUUUUCAAGGUCUCCAAAAUAAGUAAAUUCUUAUAAAUUUUA